CCGCUAUCGGGGUGAGGCUAAGCCAUGCGAGUCUACGCUCUUAGCCAUGAGGGAGCGCGGCGCACGGCUCAGUAACAUGUGGUUAACCUACCCUCAGGACGGGGAUACCCUCGGGAAACUGAGGCUAAUCCCAGAUAGAUGAGGGAUCCUGGAAUGGUUCCUCAUCGAAAAGGCACGCACAUCAUGCUGUGCGUGCCGCCUGAGGAUGGGACCGCAUCCUAUCAGGUAGUUGGUGGGGUAACGGCCCACCAAGCCUAUAACGGGUACGGGCCCUGAGAGGGGGAGCCCGGAGAUGGGUACUGAGACAAGGACCCAGGCCCUACGGGGCGCAGCAGGCGCGAAACCUCCGCAAUGCGCGAAAGCGCGACGGGGCCACCCCGAGUGCCAUCCGCUGAGGGUGACUCUUCCCUAGCGUAGUAAGCCAGGGGAAUAAGCGGGGGGCAAGUCUGGUGUCAGCCGCCGCGGUAAUACCAGC
rnacentral:rRNA from 1 species